rnacentral:rRNA from 1 species
GACGAACGCUGGCGGCGUGCUUAACACAUGCAAGUCGAACGGAAAGGCCUCUUUCGGGGGGUACUCGAGUGGCGAACGGGUGAGUAACACGUGAGUAACCUGCCCUUGACUUUGGGAUAACUUCAGGAGACUGGGGCUAAUACCGGAUAGGAGCUCCUGCUGCAUGGUGGGGGUUGGAAAGUUUCGGCGGUUGGGGAUGGACUCGCGGCUUAUCAGCUUGUUGGUGGGGUAGUGGCUUACCAAGGCUUUGACGGGUAGCCGGCCUGAGAGGGUGACCGGCCACAUUGGGACUGAGAUACGGCCCAGACUCCUACGGGAGGCAGCAGUGGGGAAUAUUGCACAAUGGGUGGAAGCCUGAUGCAGCAACGCCGUGUGCGGGAUGACGGCCUUCGGGUUGUAAACCGCUUUCGCUCAUGACGAAGCUUUGUGUGACGGUAGUGGGUAAAGAAGCACCGGCUAACUACGU